rnacentral:lncRNA from 1 species
CUUCUUCUAUAUCCCUUUUUCCUUUUGCUUACCCCGAAGUCAUCCCCGAAGGGAUGACGACCUGCACCCGCCGGAUCCGGAGAAAGCGAGCAAGAACAACCCACCGGCUGCCACUACUCCGUCGCUUGCGCUGGUCCGGCUUCCUCUCCCGCUAGAGACCAUCCCCGGUGCCACUUCUGCCGCAGCUCGUGCUUCAGAUUUGAAGAAAGGCGUCUGUGUUAGUGCAGCCAAGAAGAAGCAAGCUGCCGCCGCCACCGGUCGACGCCUCAUCAAGCCAUAUGCGGUCGCAGCUGCAGUAGACAGGAGUCGUCGACCUCCUUGUCUCCGAUGUUUACAGCUGCUGCAGGCCGUAACCAGAGUCUUCAUCCCC